CAGGGCAGGAUGCUGGGUAACUCCCAGCGGAAUAUGGUGUAAAUCUUAUUCCAGCGCAAGUGCAACAGAAAAUAUACCGCCAGGUUGUUUUAAUUAAUAUUUUUAUAACCUGGUAAGGGUGAAAAGGCGAGGCAAGAGCUCACCGGCAGCCUGGCAACAGGCUGGCUUGGUAAACCGCAUCCGGAGCAAGGCCAAAUAGGGGAGAUAUAAGGCUGCCCGUCUUUCUUCCGGGUCUGGCCGCUUGAGGCAAAUAGCAAUAUUUGUCCCAGAGGGAUGACUACAGCUGCUUAUCUUUAGCAAUUAAAGGUGAGCAGUACAGAACUCGGCUUAUAGACUAACUCCACAA
rnacentral:RNase_P_RNA from 1 species